CACCAAUUCAUUAUUAUUCAACGGAUAGUAGGUUAUUGAAAACUUUCAACAAACCUACAGCAGUAUUUAAUAGAUAAUAUUUCUAAUACUAACUCAGUAAACAGCCUUUAUAUAAAUUCGUAUAGUCCAAUGUGGAGUACUCCUCACAGGAUCAGGGUUAUCUAUAAUUUGCAACAGGUUCCAAUAUUAUCACAAGUAUGGAGAUCAUCAGUGAGGAAAAGUUUCUUAUCAACAACUACUUAUCAAGUGUUAAAUAUUUUACUUAAAUAUUAUAAGCCUAUUAAUAUCCGAUAGAUAUUAUUCGAAUUUCAAAUGUUCAAUUCACACACUGACUGCUGAAUAACACUACUAAAUAUAUUAAUAAUUAUUGUUAUUUAUAGUUACAGUAUUAUUUAUUCACUACUUGCUAUAAAAAAUUCAUAAAACACCAGGAUUUAUCUUUGUCGAUCAACACUCAAAUUCAUGUUCAAAUAAUCGUUUCCCACAUUAAAUGUCUAUGAUUAUAUUUAUGUAGUUUCAUAUAACGGAAUAACUCCUAUGUACUUCUAUACCUAUAUGUCAUAUAGACAUUGUAUAACUUAUAAAUAGGAACAAUAUAAAUAUUCAAUUGUCAGUCUCACUAAAUUCAAUUGUCCUAAUAGAAUUACUGUAUACUAAUAAAUUAAUAUAUUAGUAGAAAAGACUUGGGAAAUCAAGAUACAGUGGCGAUCCCCGCACAAGUCAACACAAUCUUAUGAGGAUUUCUAUAUCACAAACUAUCAGUUAAGGGCAAAACAUCAGCACAGUUGCACAAGGAAGUCACGAACGAGAAGAAAUUCCAUCCCACCGAUAUAUGUUUGCAUCAAGAAAGCAAAUAACUACACUACAAAGAAAUCUUUCCAAGUUCAUUCAGAAAUGAAAAUUUAGGCCUACUUUAUCUAUAUCACAAAUGGAGAUGGCCUGAAAAUAGCUGCAUCAUCGAGGGACAAAAGUAUAAUGUACUGCUAGCAAACCAAAAGCACUCGUAGUUUAAAACAAUCUUAAUUGAAGUAUAGAACUCUACACCAAAUAAUAAUAGUAAUAAUUAUAGCGAUGACUUGUUUAUAUAGCAACAACAAAAUAAUAAUAAAGUCCCAUAUG